rnacentral:rRNA from 1 species
CCUACGGGAGGCAGCAGUGAGGAAUAUUGGACAAUGGUCGAAAGACUGAUCCAGCCAUGCCGCGUGCAGGAAGACGGCCCUAUGGGUUGUAAACUGCUUUUGUUUGGGAAGAAACCUUUCUACGUGUAGAAAGCUGACGGUACCAUACGAAUAAGCACCGGCUAACUCCGUGCCAGCAGCCGCGGUAAUACGGAGGGUGCAAGCGUUAUCCGGAUUUAUUGGGUUUAAAGGGUCCGUAGGCGGACUUAUAAGUCAGUGGUGAAAUCCUGCAGCUCAACUGUAGAACUGCCAUUGAUACUGUAAGUCUUGAAUUCGGUUGAAGUGGGCGGAAUAUGGCAUGUAGCGGUGAAAUGCUUAGAUAUGCCAUAGAACACCGAUUGCGUAGGCAGCUCACUAAGCCUGGAUUGACGCUGAGGGACGAAAGCGUGGGUAGCGAACAGGAUUAGAUACCCUGGUAGUCCACGACGUAACGAUAGAUACUACGACAUAGUCGAUACUACGUUAGUAGUCAUAAGACGAAGACAUUAAGUAAUACCACCGUCGGGUAGGUACGUUACGUCGAAGAAGAGAAACGUACGAAAGAAGUAGUAGUACGAGAGAGAGACGACGACGACGACGACGGAGGGAGGAGG